UUCAACUUGAGAGUUUGAUCCUGGCUCAGAGCGAACGCUGGCGGCAGGCUUAACACAUGCAAGUCGAACGGGCAYCUUCGGRUGUCAGUGGCAGACGGGUGAGUAACACGU
rnacentral:rRNA from 1 species